AGAGUUUGAUUCCUGGCUCAGGAUGAACGCUAGCGGCAGGCCUAACACAUGCAAGUCGAGGGGCAGCGGGAGUGCUUGCACUCGCCGGCGACCGGCGCACGGGUGCGGAACGCGUAUCGAAUCUGCCUCUAUCUGGGGGAUACCCCAUGGAAACGUGGAAUAAUACCCCAUAGUAUUACUUUAUCGCAUGAUUUAGUAAUUAAAGAAUUUCGGAUAGAGAUGACGAUGCGUAUCAUUAGCUAGUAGGUAAGGUAACGGCUUACCUAGGCAACGAUGAUUAGGGGUCCUGAGAGGGAGAUCCCCCACACUGGUACUGAGACACGGACCAGACUCCUACGGGAGGCAGCAGUGAGGAAUAUUGGACAAUGGUCGAAAGACUGAUCCAGCCAUGCCGCGUGCAGGAUGACUGCCCUAUGGGUUGUAAACUGCUUUUAUACGGGAAGAAAAACACCUACGUGUAGGUGACUGACGGUACCGUAAGAAUAAGGACCGGCUAACUCCGUGCCAGCAGCCGCAGUAAUACGGAGGGUCCAAGCGUUAUCCGGAAUCAUUGGGUUUAAAGGGUCCGUAGGCGGGCUAUUAAGUCAGAGGUGAAAGUUUGCAGCUCAACUGUAAAAUUGCCUUUGAUACUGAUAGUCUUGAAUUGUAGUGAAGUGGUUAGAAUAUGUGGUGUAGCAGUGAAAUGCAUAGAUAUCACAUAGAAUACCGAUUGCGAAAGGCAGAUCACUAACUAUAUAUUGACGCUGAGGGACGAAAGCGUGGGGAGCGAACGGGAUUAGAUACCCCGGGUAGUCCACGCCGUAAACGAUGGAUACUAGCUGUUGGAUUUUUUCAGUGGCUAAGCGAAAGUGAUAAGUAUCCCACCUGGGGAGUACGUUCGCAGAAUGAACUCAAGGAAUUGACGG
rnacentral:rRNA from 1 species